GCAGUCAUCGUAUAGUGGCUAUUACCCCAGCCUUCCAGGCUGAUGAUGCAGGUUCGAUUCCCGCUGACCGCUCCA
rnacentral:tRNA from 6 species